rnacentral:hammerhead_ribozyme from 1 species
GCGCUGCUGAGGAAUCCCACAGCAGGACGAAACGGCCGUCCAGUGC